rnacentral:SRP_RNA from 1 species
GACGGGCCUCCUCGCAUUGCGGCUCGGGAACCUGGUCAGGCCCGGAAGGGAGCAGCCAUAACCGUUCACCGCAAGUGCCGAGGGUCGGGCUCGUCCCC